GUGAGUAGUUCAGAGUUUGAUCCUGGCUCAGGAUGAACGCUGGCGGCGUGCUUAACACAUGCAAGUCGAACGAAGCGAUUUAACGGAAGUUUUCGGAUGGAAGUUAAAUUGACUGAGUGGCGGACGGGUGAGUAACGCGUGGGUAACCUGCCUCAUACAGGGGGAUAACAGUUAGAAAUGACUGCUAAUACCGCAUAAGCGCACGGAAUCGCAUGAUACUGUGUGAAAAAACUCCGGUGGUAUGAGAUGGACCCGCGUCUGAUUAGCUAGUUGGUGGGGUAACGGCCUACCAAGGCGACGAUCAGUAGCCGACCUGAGAGGGUGACCGGCCACAUUGGGACUGAGACACGGCCCAA
rnacentral:rRNA from 1 species